AACGAACGCUGGCGGCAUGCCUAACACAUGCAAGUCGAACGAGACCUUCGGGUCUAGUGGCGCACGGGUGCGUAACGCGUGGGAACCUGCCCUUAGGUUCGGAAUAACUCCCCGAAAGGGGUGCUAAUACCGGCUAAUGUCUUCGGACCAAAGAUUUAUCGCCUUUGGAUGGGCCCGCGUUGGAUUAGCUAGUUGGUAGGGUAAAAGCCUACCAAGGCGACGAUCCAUAGCUGGUCUGAGAGGAUGAUCAGCCACACUGGGACUGAGACACGGCCCAGACUCCUACGGGAGGCAGCAGUGGGGAAUAUUGGACAAUGGGCGAAAGCCUGAUCCAGCAAGGCCGCGUGAGUGAUGAAGGCCUUAGGGUUGUAAAGCUCUUUUACCCGGGAUGAUAAUGACAGUACCGGGAGAAUAAGCUCCGGCUAACUCCGUG
rnacentral:rRNA from 1 species